UGAUCCGCAAAUAUCCGAAUGGGGCAACCCAGUAUACUGAAGGUAUACUACAUCGCAAGAUGAGCAAACCCGCUGAACUGAAACAUCUAAGUAGGCGGAGGAGAAGAAAACAAAAGUGAUUCCCAGAGUAGUGGCGAGCGAAAUGGGAGGAGCCCAAACCUGUAUUGUUUCGGCAAUGCAGGGGUUGUAGGACUGCGACAUUUGCUGUUUAUCGAAUUAGAACACCUUGGAAAAGUGUGACCAUAGAGGGUGAUAGUCCCGUAUAGGUAAGAUAAAUAAGUGAUAGCAGUAUCCUGAGUAGGGCGGGGCACGUGGAACCCUGUCUGAAACUGCCAGGACCAUCUGGUAAGGCUAAAUACUCCUGAGAGACCGAUAGUGGACUAGUACCGUGAGGGAAAGGUGAAAAGCACCGUGAAUAACGGAGUGAAAGAGACCCUGAAACCAUACGCUUACAAGCGGUCGGAGCGGAGAGAUCCGUGACGGCGUGCCUUUUGCAUAAUGAGCCUACGAGUUACUGUUACUGGCAAGGAUAAGCACUUAAGGUGCGCAUUCGAGUGGAGGACCGAACUGGUUGUCGUUGAAAAGACUUCGGAUGACCUGAGGGUAGGGGUGAAAGGCCAAUCAAACUGGGAAAUAGCUCGUACUCCCCGAAAUGCAUUUAGGUGCAGCGUUGUAAUAGAGUUUAAUAGAGGUAGAGCUACUGAUUGGAUGCGGGGGUUUCACCGCCUACCAAUUCCUGACAAACUCCGAAUGCUAUUAAAUGUUUUACAGCAGUGAGGGCUUGGGUGCUAAGGUCCAAGUCCGAGAGGGAAAGAACCCGGACCAUCAGCUAAGGUCCCCAAAUAUAUGCUAAGUUGAAAAAACGCGGUUGAACUGCAUGGACAGCUAGGAUGUUGGCUUGGAAGCAGCCAUACAUUUAAAGAGUGCGUAACAGCUCACUAGUCGAGCGGUUCGGCAUGGAGAAUAAACGGGCAUAAGCAUAUUACCGAAGCUAUGGGGUAGAGAUACCGGUAGGGGAGCAUUCUAUAGGCGUUGAAGCUAAAGGCGUGAGCCAUAGUGGAGCUUGAUAGAAAAGAAAAUGUAGGCAUAAGUAACGAUAAGGCAGGUGAGAAACCUGCCCGCCGAAAGAUCAAGGUUUCCUCAGCUAUGCUAAUCAGCUGAGGGUUAGUCGGGGACUAACGCGUACCCUUUUAGGGGAAGUGGAUGUACAACUGGUUAAUAUUCCAGUACUAGUAUUUCAAUAAAAGCGACGGAAUGAGAUAUACGCUGCGCACAGACGGAGUUGCGUUGAAGGAGCUGUUAUGGCUUUGAUAGUACACUUAGGCUACGGUCGAGGUGAUAAUGCGUAGACAACGUUUCCAAGAAAAGCGAGAGAUACUACCCGUACCGUAAACCGACACAGGUGAUUGGGAAGAGAAUUCUAAGGCGCUCGAGAGAUUCAUGGCUAAGGAACUAGGCAAAAUAGACCUGUAACUUCGGGAGAAAGGUCGCCUAUCGUAAGAUAGGCCGCAGUGAAAAGGUCCAAGCGACUGUUUAUCAAAAACACAGGACUCUGCAAAAUCGAAAGAUGAGGUAUAGGGUCUGACACCUGCCCGGUGCUGGAAGGUUAAGAGGAGGGCUUAGCGUAAGCGAAGGUCUGAAUUGAAGCCCCAGUAAACGGCGGCCGUAACUAUAACGGUCCUAAGGUAGCGAAAUUCCUUGUCGGGUAAGUUCCGACCUGCACGAAUGGUGUAACG
rnacentral:rRNA from 1 species